AAACAUAUGAACUUACUGUGUUUUUGGGCUUUUCAGAUGCUGGAUUUAAAUGGCAGAUUUUCGUAUUGUGUUUUCCCUGCAAUGAAGGGAAGAUAUGAAGAAUCGUAGAUCUAUUGUAGUUGUUGGUCGAUUGUGUGAAACUUUGUAUUUUGAUUGAUGUUUGGAUGCUGUUAUAAAAGCAUGAGAACUAUUUGACAUGGAUAAUCCAUUUGGAGGAAUUUGUAGUUUGCAACUAGCUAAAUUUUUAUACUUUUGUGCUUUAAACACAAGCGUGUUAUGAU
rnacentral:misc_RNA from 1 species